UGGGGAAUUUUGGACAAUGGACGCAAGUCUGAUCCAGCCAUGCCGCGUGCGGGAAGAAGGCCUUCGGGUUGUAAACCGCUUUUGUCAGGGAAGAAACGAGUUUCUCUAAUACAGAGACUUAAUGACGGUACCUGAAGAAUAAGCACCGGCUAACUACGUGCCAGCAGCCGCGGUAAUACGUAGGGUGCGAGCGUUAAUCGGAAUUACUGGGCGUAAAGCGUGCGCAGGCGGUUAUAUAAGACAGAUGUGAUAUCCCCGGGCUCAACCUGGGAACUGCAUUUGUGACUGUAUAGCUAGAGUACGGCAGAGGGGGAUGGAAUUCCGCGUGUAGCAGUGAAAUGCGUAGAUAUGCGGAGGAACACCGAUGGCGAAGGCAAUCCCCUGGACCUGUACUGACGCUCAUGCACGAAAGCGUGGGGAGCAAACA
rnacentral:rRNA from 1 species